rnacentral:rRNA from 1 species
UAGGUGNACCUGCGGAAGGAUCAUUG